rnacentral:rRNA from 1 species
UACGUAGGGGGCUAGCGUUGUCCGGAAUCAUUGGGCGUAAAGCGCGUGUAGGCGGUCCGGUAAGUCCGCUGUGAAAGUCGGGGGCUCAACCCUCGAAUGCCGGUGGAUACUGUCGGGCUAGAGUGCGGAAGAGGCGAGUGGAAUUCCUGGUGUAGCGGUGAAAUGCGCAGAUAUCAGGAGGAACACCAAUUGCGAAGGCAGCUCGCUGGGACGUCACUGACGCUGAGACGCGAAAGCGUGGGGAGCAAACGGG